rnacentral:tRNA from 2 species
UGACCAAUGGUGUAACGGUAGCACUACAGUUUUUGGUACUGUCUGUCUAGGUUCGAAUCCUGGUUGGUCAACAA